rnacentral:rRNA from 1 species
CUAGGCGACCAUACCUCGUUGAAAGCACCGGUUCUCGUCCGAUCACCGCAGUUCAGCAACGUUGGGCCCGGUCAGUACUUGCAUGGGUGACCGGCUGGGAAUACCAGGUGUCGCCGGCU